GGAAAUUUAACUUUGUAUGUUCUUUACCAGAAUGGGAUUGCACUGAUUUUUUCCCUUGCUUUAAAUUUGGCUUACUCUAUAUUUUAAAAGAAAACUUUCCCUUUUCCAUUUAAUUUGAUAUGUUUAUAUGAUUUCCUUAAUGAAUUCUUUCCUUUCCUCACAGAGUGGGUUCAGAUGGCUCCAACUCUAUUUUCUAAAUUUAUUCCAAACAUUCUUCCUCCGGCGGUGGAAUCUGAACUUUCUGAAUAUGCUGCUCAAGAUCAGAAAUUUCAAAGAGAACUUAUACAGAAUGGUUUUACAAGGGGUGACCAGUCCCGGAAGAGAGCUGGGGAUGAGUUGGCUUAUAACAGCUCGUCAGCAUGUGCAAGUUCCAGGGGGUACAGAUAGUGAAUGUAUUGAAUAUGCUUUCCUUCCUGAAAAGAGGAAACACUGGAGCUGCAGAGACUGUAUUCAGAGCACAGUGGGGGCUGCACACACUCAGGAGCUCUGUCACAAAGCUGUUCGUGGAAGAGGAUGUU
rnacentral:sRNA from 1 species